rnacentral:lncRNA from 1 species
CAGACAGACAGCGCUCACCCGUGGCAGAAAGGUGCUCACUCCUCGGGAACAGGCACAAGCUCCAAGCCAGCAGCCCCAUCCUGCUGGCAGGCUCUCCUCCUCGGGGUGAUGGUUUGACUGAACCCCAGUGAUUGACACAACCUGCUCCCCACAAGCAGGAAAGAGCUCUGGUCACACAGGGCAGCCCAGGAUGCAGCAACAAGAUGCUGGAGGAACAGUCUGCUUUUGCUGAGAGUGGAAAUGCCUCUGUUGAAAUGAUCUUGUGGAAAUAGGAAGAUGCAAGAAGAAAAUGUUCAAGUAGUCUGUAAAGCCUGCACACUGCAACAAACAGAAGGAAAGUUCACAAAAGAAAAUAAGAGUUGGAGGAUAGUGAUUGAUCUGUAUCAUAUGCUGUCCUCAUGUGGUAUGCUCAUAGAGAGUCAGGUGCACAUCAAAAUGAUGAGGCCAGCAGGAGUGAUGUCAAGCCAAGCUCUGCAGGAUGCCACGGGGAGAUGGAGCUGUGACCUCUGAGACAGGCGAGGUGAUUCUUGCAGUCAGUUUGGGGAAACUGGGAUUUAAGAACUUUUUGGAAUCUUCAAUAUCUGUGU